CCUACGGGCGACUGCAGUGGGGAAUAUUGCGCAAUGGGCGAAAGCCUGACGCAGCGACGCCGCGUGAGGGAUGAAGGUCUGCGGAUCGUAAACCUCUGUCAGCAGGGAAGAACGGUCACGGUGCUAAGCAGCAGUGAAUGGACGGUACCUGCAAAGGAAGCACCGGCUAACUCCGUGCCAGCAGCCGCGGUAAUACGGAGGGUGCGAGCGUUAAUCGGAAUUACGGGGCGUAAAGCGCUCGUAGGCGGUAUGUCAAGUCAAGGGUGAAAUCCCCGCGCUCCACGUGGGAACUGCCUUUGAAACUGGCAACCUGGAGUGUGUGAGAGGCUAGUGGCAUUCCCGUUGUAGG
rnacentral:rRNA from 1 species